rnacentral:misc_RNA from 1 species
GAUGAAGAACGCAGCGAAAUGCGAUAAGUAAUGUGAAUUGCAGAAUUCAGUGAAUCAUCGAAUCUUUGAACGCACAUUGCGCCUGCCAGUAUUCUGGCGGGCAUGCCUGUUCGAGCGUCAUUUCAACCCUCAAGCCCAGCUUGGUGUUGGGGAUCGGCACAGGCGCCCUCGGGCGCCCGCCGUCCCCUAAAUCUAGUGGCGGUCCCGCUGCAGCCUCCUCUGCGUAGUAGUUUUCUCCUCGCAAGGGCAGCUCGGUGGCGACCUCGCCGUAAAACCCCCAACUUCUGAAAGGUUGACCUCGAAUCAGGUAGGAAUACCCGCUGAACUUAAGCAUAUCAAAAGCGGAGGA